ACGUCGCCGCCGGAGAUUGGUGCAACGCGCUGCGGUGAAAGGUGGAAUCCCGGUAGCGUUGCUCUGAGUCGAGACGCUCAACGAACCGACAAGAAAGGAGGACUGGAGGGAGGAAGCCUGUUUUAACUGCGUAAUCAGAGAUCAGCCAUCACGGAAGGGGCCCUAGCAGCACCGGGCCAGUGGCGCAAUGGAUAACGCGUCUGACUACGGAUCAGAAGAUUCUAGGAGCUCUCUCCCAGGAUAUGGAUUGAGAUUCAAGCCCAUGAGCAAAUAAUCAGAAAGAGGUGUCAGGGGUGUGAGCACUUGAGAUCCUCAGACUCACCUUAAGGAAGCAACUCCAUCAUCACAGACUAGAGGAAACAAAGAAAAAACACCACAAAGCAGUGGACAAGAAGCCUGGUGCCUGCACCAGUUCUCUCAAAGCUGGCUGUGUAGGACACGACAGGCCUCUGCCACAGCUCAGCUGCCUUCGGAAUGGGAGGAAAGGCAGAGGCACAACAGGAGACCCAGCCUCCCAGAUGUCAAAGCUUGGCUCUGGUUUACCAAGCAAACUCCAAGGAUACAAAGCAUAUGCAAUACUUCUUUCUUGUCGCAAUGCAGUUAGAGUUUGCGGCAUUCUUAGAAGAACUAAAGUUCUGAGGUGGAAAGAACUGUAAAUCACACCACAGGGUGUGUGAGGGUUAUCUGGGUGCAGGUAUUUUCCUAGAGGAGGGAAGUGCCGCUUGUCUCCAUCACUGCUUCUCUUUGGGAACAUUAUGAAAUGUGCUUAACACAAUCUGAAAACCUGUCCCCAUGAAACAUGAACUAUUUCCAGGGACUAGGAUGUGUCCAGUUACACAGGCCCAACCUUGUGUCAUGUGCCAUGUGCAAGUUAGAGCAUCUUCCUGAGUGAUUUGGUGAGGGUAUGGCAAUGGGGAAAAGCACUUGGAAAAUACAUGUACUUGAUGGGGAGUGCACACUGCUAUGGUGAAAAGAAAGGUACCCUUCACACACAAGCAGGAACUUGACCUCCUGCCCCUCCUCUUCUGGAGGCCCCCAAAAGUACCCCACAGACACCUCCCUGGGCAGCCCUGGCCCUGCCUCCCCACUGUGUCUCUGGCUAGAAGUGGUGCUGGUGGAGGGCUGCAGGUGAGGGUCCUUUCUCCAGCCUCUUGACAUGGCAGGAGUGACAGAACAGGUGGUCUUCCAGUGGGUAGCAGCGGUGACCAUCCUCAUCAUUGAGCUCUAGGCCACAGUCCUACAAGGAGGCAAGAAUGUCCCAUGAAAACAAAACAGACUGCAAGAGUAACAUGAAACCACAAUCCACCCAAUCAGCAAAGGGCACUUCAUGCCUGUGGGCAGCUCCUGUCCAGUGAAAGAACCAGUGGCUACCUGCUACCAUAAGGCUCAAAUGGGACUGAUGGGAACUAAGAGGUGGCUUCAGAAGAAAUAUACACCAGGCUUCCCAGACAGAAGACCCAAAGAAGAUAGAAAAUAUAGAUAGCUUUUACAAGUUGAAAUAACAUUGUAACAUUGUGCAUCUUAAUCCCACAUAUCCCUACUCUUUUGAGAUAGUGUCUCGUGUAGUCCAGGCCUGCUAUGUCAUCUGUAGUCAAGAAUGACCUCGAACUUUUGAUCCUCCUGUCUCAGCAUUCUAAGUGAUGGGAUUACAGGUGUGCACCAUCACUCCUAGUUUUUGUGAUGCUUCCUUCUGAACUCAGGACUUACAUGGUAGGCAAGCCCUCUACCAAGAGAACAGCACCACCAGCAUCUCCACCUGUUUCUUUCAACUAUUUGGAUGUGACUACUAGAAAAUGAAGAGACACAUAAUUUCAAUUGUGGCACUCGUAUUUUUUGUUAUUGUUGUUGUUUGUUUUUUUGUUUUUUGAGACAAGGUUUCUCUGUACAGCCCUGGCCAUCCUAGAACUUGCUCUGUAGACCAGGCUGGCCUUGACCUCAAGAGAUUUGCCUGCCUCUGUCACCACCACUAGGUGAGGCACUUGCAUUUUUAAUGGUCAACCAGGGUCAUGAAUGUGCAGAGAAGACUGUUAAGUCUUCAUUCUCUCCUCCAGAUUCAUGAAGUACCACCAGCCAUGAGUCCCACCUACUUCUUCAGUGCGAGCAGUGAGACCCAUCUACAUGUUACCAAUACUCCCUGCUUUCCCUACCUAUAAGACCACAAGUGAAUCUAGUCUAUUUCUGGGGAUGAGUCCACUCAGUAUGGCUGGAAGACUGAUGGGGAGUGAUCUCUGGCACUUAUGGUUCCUUCAGUGCCGGAUAUCACACAGGGCAGCACGCCACACAACCUUUAUACCCACCAAUUGAUGUAACUAUUUCCAAAAGAGGUUUCUCCAUGAUUUCCAGGUCUCAGUUCAGACAGAAGCUUCUGACAGAACAUUCUGUACCCAGAAGGGAAAAACAUCUCUCCCACCCUCAUUAUACACCUAAGUGACAGUCUGAUUUUAGCCCCUCCCUACACAUAAUUCUCUGGUUCUGUAGCUUCAGGGAUAGCAACUGCAAGUUUCAGAACUUUCUAGUUUUGAAUUUUCAGAAAAUGACAUAGAGCUUCAUCCCAAACAUCUGUUAUUACCCUCAUACAAUCAGUUAUUGGAGGACAGACCUCAGAAAGAAUCUGGUGACUACCCUAGUCCCAUGACCCAGGAGGCCUUUUUAAGGUAGGCUUUGGGGCUGGACAGGGAGGGGCUUACCUCACAGUGGUAGCAUUCCACAUGGUAGUCUCUGUCCAUGGACACAACACGGAUGGUCUCAUCUGAACCCUGGGAUGAAAGAAAAGCAAGACAUGCAAAGAGGCCAGUUAGAAGUCCAUGGAAUAACACCAGCAAUGGGAUAGGGUGGGAGGAGAUUGUGGGGUAAUAGUAGGAGGCCUUGGGGGAGAGAUAUAAAUCAAGAGUGAAUACUAAACACUUGUAGGAAAAAGACCAGAUUCAGUGGAUGUGAGAGUAGGUAGGGGCAGUGUGAUCUUCUGGGAUGUCAGAGACAAUACUGAAAGAAACACCAAUGACAACAUUUUUUUUCUUUAUUUUUUUUGCAUAUGUAUGUAUGCAUGACUGCAUGUGCAUAGGCACACACAUGUGUGCACAUGCAUGUAAAAGCCAGAGGUUUGUGUCUGGUAUCUUCCUCCUUCACUUUCUAUUUUAUUCACUGAGGCAGGGUUUCAGGGAUAUUUAUUUUUUAAAGAUGAAUAAAAGACAAGCUUUCUGUCCCUCUAAUCUAAGACAGUUUGAUUUGGCUCUUAGACAAAAUGGCACAAGCAGGACAUGGGGCUAGGAAGCCAGCACAGGAAAAAGGGACAGUACUGGGCAUUGGAGAAUUAUGUUGAAAGGUAUAAGAACAGUUAUAGAUCUUCUGAGUGACUCAAGGGAGACAUCCCAGUCUUCAGAAGACCUAUGAGCAGAUAAGCAUCUUACCUCUGGUGGAAGGAUGGGAAGCCCACAGGCUGCACACUUUGGGGCCAGCACCCUGCGGGAAAAACAAAGGGAACACAGUGCACAUUGUGUUAUUACCAGAAUAUGAAUGGCAACCAGGGCCUGCCAGAGCCCUCCAUGGCCAGCACUCAGGAUUAUGUGGACCUAGAUUCACUUUUUGGAAUAGAAACAUUAUUCCUGGCUGCUACAGGGAAAUCUGACUGCUUCCUGCUCCCCUAAGUAUAAAGAUGAAGCUGGCUGUUUUCUCCCUUCACAGCUAGCUGGGAUGGUCCAAAAGCAGAGAGUGGUAGGUGCUGAGCGUGACUUGGUGCUUGGUGAAAUUGGGUAAAUCUGAAGCCACAGGCUUGUUGGAUUCCUCUGAUUUUGUGUUCUGCUUUAUCACCAAACAAACCUUAAAAGAGUUCCUAUAUACUUUCCAUUCUGCUGAGCUCAGCGGGGCCUGUGUAAGGUUGCCAUUUACUCUCUUCAUUUCUCCUUACUUGUGGUAAUCUCGGACACAGUAGAUCUUGUUCUCUGAGUCCACGGUGAAAGGCACUCCAUCCAGACAUUCAUUACAGAUGACACAGCGGAAACAGCCAGGGUGAUAGGACUUCCCCAGGGCCUGUAGGAUCUGAGGACACACAGGAAAAGACUCACAGAGAUGAAGGGAAGGAAGGACCAUGAAGAAAGAGGAACAUGUCGGUUGAAGAGCCACAUGCACAGCUGCACCAUGGCACAGGCUCCACCUGGCCCAGAGUUUCACCCAAACAAAGGUCAAGAGAGGUGAGUCUGCUCAGACUUGUGGACAGGAGAGGAUCAAACAGGGAUGCUGUGGAAUAAUCCUGUACAGUAUGAAAGUGUGUUGCUCUAAUUGCUAAUAAAAAACUUAUUGGUGAGCAGCCAGACAGGAAGUAUAGGCGGAACAACCAAACUAAGGAUGCUGAGAUGAAGAAGGGCGGAGUAAGAGGUCACGAGCAGACAUGGGGAAAAGCAAGAUGAAUGUACCAUACUGAGAAAAGGUACCAAGCCACAGGGCAAAGCAUAGAUAAGAAAUAUGGGUUAAUUUAAAUGUAAGAGUUAGCUGGUAACAAGUCUGAGCUAUGGCUGAGCAUUUGUAAUUGAUAUAACCACAGUAUGUUUAUUUGGGAGCUGCUGGCAGGACAGAAACUUCCACCUGCACAGGGACCUAUGCAAACUCUCAGUUGUUGAGUGAGAGGAAAUAGACUCCUGUCUGAUCCUCUCAUAGCAGAAACUUGUUUUCUCCUAAAAAGCAAUACUAGUUAGGGCUAGCCCUGUCCUGGGACAGAACCUCUGAGUAAACCAGUUAAAAAGAAUCUACCCCUCAUAUGGAAGGCAGCAAGCAUAUAGAAGAAUGAAGGGAAAUUCUAGAUGGAACUAUGAGAACUUGGACAAAAGCUCCUCACACUGACUCCUGGGACCCUUUCCAUGUGGCUUUGAUUCUAUAGUGUGACACUCUAGAAGUGUUUUUAAGACACAAGUCAAGGACCCAGGGAGUGACUUAAACCAGUUGUUGGCCUUUGAGCAACCAGCACAGCUGACCAUUUUUUGUUAUUAUUUUUCACCCAGUAGUAAGGAUGGAUCCUAGAGGCAUGUACAUGGUAGGCAAGCAUUCUGACACUGAAUUAUACCCCCAGCUCUUAAAUUCUUAAAGGCCAGUUUCCAAUGGUAAACAAUUUGUUGACCUCACUACCUGAUUCCACAGGGAACAUUAUUCUUACUUAUGAAACAAAGACUGAGACCUGGACAAUCUAAAAGAGCCAGUGGCUGAGCACAGAAUGGGAUAUGAAAACCUGGACUCUGUCUAUCUGAAUGCCAAAAGCUUUCUCAGGAAUGGCUUGUACUGGAAGGAAAAAAUACAUUCAUCUGAUUGUACCCAAUUCCCAGGUAGCUGAUAUUUCUGCAAGUAAAACUGGCCUCUCCUAGCACCUCACUGGGAAAGCCAAGGACCACAGAGAAACCAGAGGGAGACCAGUGUGAGCAGAAUCACUCCAGUGUGCAUGAUAAAAACUGCAUUGGUCCAAGCCAACAACAGCGUCUAUUAGAGAAGUGGCUACAGUGGGCAAGGACGUCUUUACAUAAAACCAGCAGUGACCACAAACCAGAAAGGAAACACUGUGUUCAAUUAUUAACUUCUUUUUAGCCUUCUUCCAAGGUGUUCUGAUCUUGCUGAGCAAUACUCACCAUGUCCAUGAUCAGAUGUCCGCAAAGAAAACACCUGUCGGCAGACUGCUGAAAGCCAGAGUAC